GUGCCAGCAGCCGCGGUAAUACGAAGGGGGCUAGCGUUGCUCGGAAUUACUGGGCGUAAAGGGAGCGUAGGCGGACAUUUAAGUCAGGGGUGAAAUCCCGGGGCUCAACCUCGGAAUUGCCUUUGAUACUGGGUGUCUUGAGUAUGAGAGAGGUGUGUGGAACUCCGAGUGUACAGGUGGAAUUCGUAGAUAUUCGGAAGAACACCACUGGCUAACGCGACACACUGGCUCAUUACUGACGCUGACGCUCGAAAGCGUGNGAGCAANCAGGAUUAGAUACCCUGGUAGUC
rnacentral:rRNA from 1 species